AUUUUGUCCCCUUUCUUUCCCCAUCAUACUAGCGCAUGCACUAGUCAUCGUCAGGCACCCAUGGGGUAUGUGCGCAGAGGACGCUUACUGCGCAUGCAGUUUUUACUCCCCAUUACAUGCAUGCCAACACAUGCACUCUGCGGGACAUCAGAACGCAUGAGUCAGCCAUUUUUUACCGGACACCAUUGCAUGAGUCCUCUGAUGCAGAAGUGAGUUCGCGCGUCACAUGAAGCUCUUUCCUUUUUGUGUUUUUUCUCAUGUUUAACUUUUUCGUUUUGUAUUAUAAUACAUGUAUU